rnacentral:rRNA from 1 species
UACGGAGGGUGCAAGCGUUAUCCGGAUUCACUGGGUUUAAAGGGUGCGUAGGCGGACAGGUAAGUCAGUGGUGAAAUCCUGUUGCUUAACAACAGAAUUGCCAUUGAUACUGUAGGGCUUGAGUACAGAUGCCGUUGGCGGAAUAUGACAUGUAGUGGUGAAAUACAUAGAGAUGUCAUAGAACACCGAUUGCGAAGGCAGCUGACGAAACUGUAACUGACACUGAGGCUCGAAAGUGCGGGGAUCAAACAGG